rnacentral:tRNA from 2 species
GCCCGCCUAGCUCAAUUGGUAGAGCGCUGCACUUGUAAUGCAGGGGUUCCCGGUUCGAGUCCGGGGGCGGGCU